GUUGUAUGGUUAAGUGACUAAGCGUACACGGUGGAUGCCUUGGCAGUUGGAGGCGAUGAAGGACGUAUUAACUUGCGAUAAGCCUAGUCAAGCUAGUAAAAAGCACUUGAGACUAGGAUUUCCGAAUGGGGAAACCCACCUGCUUGCAGGUAUCGUUAACUGAAUACAUAGGUUAACGAGGCGAACGCGGAGAACUGAAACAUCUAAGUACCCGUA
rnacentral:rRNA from 1 species